rnacentral:rRNA from 1 species
GAUGAACGCUGGCGGCGUGCCUAAUACAUGCAAGUCGAGCGAACAGACGAGGAGCUUGCUCCUCUGACGUUAGCGGCGGACGGGUGAGUAACACGUGGAUAACCUACCUAUAAGACUGGGAUAACUUCGGGAAACCGGAGCUAAUACCGGAUAAUAUAUUGAACCGCAUGGUUCAAUAGUGAAAGACGGUUUUGCUGUCACUUAUAGAUGGAUCCGCGCCGCAUUAGCUAGUUGGUAAGGUAACGGCUUACCAAGGCAACGAUGCGUAGCCGACCUGAGAGGGUGAUCGGCCACACGGGAACUGAGACACGGUCCAGACUCCGACGGGAGGCAGCAGUAGGGAAUCUUCCGCAAUGGGCGAAAGCUGGACGGAGCAACGCCGGGGGAGUGAUGAAGGUCUUCGGAUCGGAAAACUCUGUUAUUAGGGAAGAACAAAUGUGUAAGUAACUAUGCACGUCUUGACGGUACCUAAUCAGAAAGCCACGGCUAACUACGUG